GAUGAACGCUGGCGGCGUGCUUAACACAUGCAAGUCGAACGAAGCGAUUGGAAGGAAGUUUUCGGAUGGAAUUCUGAUUGACUGAGUGGCGGACGGGUGAGUAACGCGUGGGUAACCUGCCUCAUACAGGGGGAUAACAGUUAGAAAUGACUGCUAAUACCGCAUAAGCGCACAGGAUUGCAUGAUCCGGUGUGAAAAACUCCGGUGGUAUGAGAUGGACCCGCGUCUGAUUAGCUGGUUGGUGGGGUAACGGCCCACCAAGGCGACGAUCAGUAGCCGACCUGAGAGGGUGACCGGCCACAUUGGGACUGAGACACGGCCCAAACUCCUACGGGAGGCAGCAGUGGGGAAUAUUGCACAAUGGGGGAAACCCUGAUGCAGCAACGCCGCGUGAGUGAAGAAGUAUUUCGGUAUGUAAAGCUCUAUCAGCAGGGAAGAAAAUGACGGUACCUGAGUAAGAAGCCCCGGCUAACUACGUGCCAGCAGCCGCGGUAAUACGUAGGG
rnacentral:rRNA from 1 species